UUAAAGAAAGCGUAAUAGCUCACUGGUCGAGUCGGCCUGCGCGGAAGAUGUAACGGGGCUAAACCAUGCACCGAAGCUGCGGCAGCGAACGUAUCACCCAAGACAACUUUACGGAGUUGACGAUUGACGGAGCGAAGCGACGUCAAAGCGUUCAUUAAAGUCGAGUUGGCUUAGGGAUACGUUCGUUGGGUAGGGGAGCGUUCUGUAAGCCUGUGAAGGUGGCCUGUGAGGGUUGCUGGAGGUAUCAGAAGUGCGAAUGCUGACAUAAGUAACGAUAAUGCGGGUGAAAAACCCGCACGCCGGAAGACCAAGGGUUCCUGUCCAACGUUAAUCGGGGCAGGGUGAGUCGACCCCUAAGGCGAGGCCGAAAGGCGUAGUCGAUGGGAAACAGGUUAAUAUUCCUGUACUUGGUGUUACUGCGAAGGGGGGACGGAGAAGGCUAUGUUAGCCGGGCGACGGUUGUCCCGGUUUAAGCAUGUAGGCGGAGGUUCCAGGUAAAUCCGGUACCUUAUUAACGCUGAGGUGUGAUGACGAGGCACUACGGUGCUGAAG
rnacentral:rRNA from 1 species